rnacentral:rRNA from 1 species
GACGAACGCUGGCGGCGUGCUUAACACAUGCAAGUCGAACGGAAAGGCCCUGCUUUUGUGGGGUGCUGGAGUGGCGAACGGGUGAGUAACACGUGUGUAACCUGCCCUUGACUUUGGGAUAACUUCAGGAAACUGGGGCUAAUAUCGGAUAGGAGCCCCUGCUGCAUGGUGGGGGUGGGAAAGUUUCGGCGGUUGGGGAUGGACGCGCGGCUGAUCAGCUUGUUGGUGGGGUAGUGGCUUACCAAGGCAUUGACGGGUAGCCGGCCUGAGAGGGUGACCGGGCCCAUUGGGCCUGAGAUAGGGCCCAGAGUCCAACGGGGGGCAGCAGUAGGAAAUCUUGCACAAUGAGCGGAAGCCGGAUGCAGCAACGCCGGGUGCGGGAUGACGGCCUUCGGGUUGUAAACCGCUUUCGCCUGUGACGAAGCGGGAGUGACGGUAAUGGGUAAAGAAGCACCGGCUAACUACGUG